rnacentral:rRNA from 1 species
GACGAACGCUGGCGGCGUGCUUAACACAUGCAAGUCGAACGGAAAGGCCCCUUUGGGGGUACUCGAGUGGCGAACGGGUGAGUAACACGUGAGUAACCUGCCCUUGACUUCGGGAUAACUUCAGGAAACUGGGGCUAAUACCGGAUAGGAAUCCUUGCUGCAUGGUGGGGGUUGGAAAGCUUCGGCGGUUUUGGAUGGACUCGCGGCUUAUCAGCUUGUUGGUGGGGUAGUGGCUUACCAAGGCUUUGACGGGUAGCCGGCCUGAGAGGGCGACCGGCCACAUUGGGACUGAGACACGGCCCAGACUCCUACGGGAGGCAGCAGUGGGGAAUAUUGCACAAUGGGCGGAAGCCUGAUGCAGCAACGCCGCGUGCGGGAUGACGGCCUUCGGGUUGUAAACCGCUUUCAGCAGGGGCGAAGCUUGUGGUGACGGUACCUGCAGAAGAAGCACCGGCUAACUACGUG